rnacentral:rRNA from 1 species
AUGGCCAGGCCCAGCCCUCCCAUGACGAGCUCCCACCCCCCGCCCCGCGGUGUGCUGCGGCCAUGGCGCCUCCGGCACGACCUGGAUCCCGACGGGCGGCUCCUCACCCGCGGUGAUGUUGGUCCCAGUUGGGUGGCAUCCCCCCGCCCACCCCCGCCCGUGUGGUUUUGGCUCGUCGGCGCGGCCUGGAUCUCGAUGGCGGCUCCCCGGCGGCGGCUGUCGUCCUCUCCCGUGGUGGUGCUGUCCCGGCUGGGUGGCGCCCCCCAUCGCGUGGCGAGGUUGGACCCGUGCCGUUCCCUGGCGGCGUCCCCUGUGCUGUGGGCGCGAGGCAGCGGCAGCAGGACCUGCGCACUCCAGGUGCCUCGCUUGACAACGUCCUCGGCCGGCGCGGCUCCAGCCCUGCCGCUUCGAAGGCUGUGUUCCUCUCCAGCUUCUUCGGUUCGCUGGUCCUCGCUGGUGUGGCUGUGUGCUACUUGUUGA